UGAAGAUGUGUGGUUAGGGUUGGGAGUAGACAUUGGGAUGCUCUCUAAACCCGUUGUGAAGCUGUUAAAUUGCAAGAAACCAUCUUCCUCUCCACCCUCCAUUCCCACCCUAUUCCCACAGGGUGAACAGGAAGCGCCCACUCAGAGCCCUUAUUCCAAAGGUGGAAAAACCUCUUCCCUUUGCUGCUUUUGGGGACUCAUCAGUCUCUGGAACAAUUAAACCUCUUUCAAUGCAGUUAUAUUCCCUCAUGUAAUAAGUACUGCAUUAUUUUUAGACUGUUUUACCCAAUUAAUUUUAUUAUCAGUUAAUUAUGUAUUACCACCUUAAGAAAAUGAAUAUUUGCCCAGUUGCUUAAGCUAAAUCAUUAAAUAUGUAUGAAUUCCUUUCUUUAAAUGUACACCUGUUAUCUUUUACAGAUGCAGAAGACGUGUUUGGAGCCAUCUGUGCCUCUGAAACAGACCCCCAUACAAAAGUGCUGUCUUGGCCCUACGAGACAGCUCAUGUGGGGCUGGGAGGCACCUGGGAAGUGAGGCCCACAAACAUGUCAGAGAUCUCGGCCUCAGCACCAGAGUGACAUCAUUUGAGAAAGACUGUUCUAGUCCAACCCUGCAGUUUUAUAGAUGGAGAAACUGAAGCCCAGAGACGGAAAGUGAUACUGAAAGUGAUUUCAACAGCUGGACUCAGAGUUGGUCUGAGACUCCUGGUCUGACACCUUUGAAUUCGGUCAGCUUCUCAGUUCGGCUUGGCUGAGGGUACACUGUGUGCCAGAGAAGCAUAAGGGCCGCUGCCACCAUUAAGUAGAGAAAAGAAUGCGGAACAGCAGGGCAUGGUGGCUCACACC
rnacentral:lncRNA from 1 species